GAGGAAGACAUAAUGGUUAUGUCAUUGGCUUGAAACCAGUUUUAGGGGGUUCGAUGCCUUCCUUUCUUA
rnacentral:tRNA from 1 species